GGGGGUGUAGCUCAGCUGGGAGAGCGCCUGCCUUGCACGCAGGAGGCCAUCGGUUCGAGUCCGUUCACCUCCACCA
rnacentral:tRNA from 3 species